rnacentral:misc_RNA from 1 species
GAAAAAAAUAAAGAAGCUAAUUAACAUGUAUACAUUAUGCUACGAAGCUUACACUUUUUUUCUUUGUUGAAAAGAAGCUUCGAGAACCAUUUGUUUGUGUGACUUUUGUAAAAGAAAAUGUAAAGAAGCUAAUUAACAUGUAUACAUUAUGCUACGAAGCUUACACUUUUUUUCUUUGUUGAAAAGAAGCUUCGAGAACCAUUUGUUUGUGUGACUUUUGUAAAAGAAAAUG